UACGUAGGGGGCCAGCGUUGUCCGGAAUCAUUGGGCGUAAAGCGCGCGUAGGCGGCCAGAUAAGUCCGGUGUGAAAGUCAAAGGCUCAACCUUUGAAUGCCGCUGGAAACUGUCUGGCUUGAGUCCGGAAGAGGAGAGUGGAAUUCCUGGUGUAGCGGUGAAAUGCGCAGAUAUCAGGAAGAACACCCGUGGCUAAGGCGGCUCUCUAGUACGGUACUGACGCUGAGACGCGAAAGCGUGGGGAGCGAACAGG
rnacentral:rRNA from 1 species